rnacentral:rRNA from 1 species
CAUAUUAGCGCGGACGGAGGACAUUAUCGAGUUUUUUUGAACAGGUUGUAUAGCUGGUCUCUCGCUUCUAACUGAGGUGUGAGGCACGUGCACGCCUGGCUUCAUAUCCACUCUUCAACCUCUGUGCACUAUUUGUAGGGAAAGCGGCGGAGGCUGCCAGUCAGCUCAGAAGUCGUCUCUUCUCUAUGUUUUUACUACAAACGCUUUCAGUGUCAGGAUGCUAUCAUAUCGUGCGUAACGCAUUUAUAUACAACUUUCAGCAACGGAUCUCUUGGCUCUCGCAUCGAUGAAGAACGCAGCGAAAUGCGAUAAGUAAUGUGAAUUGCAGAAUUCAGUGAAUCAUCGAAUCUUUGAACGCACCUUGCGCUCCUUGGUAUUCUGAGGAGCAUGCCUGUUUGAGUGUCAUGGAAUUCUCAACCCCUCCAGGUUUGUUCUUGGGGCGGGCUUGGACUUGGAGGCAUGUGUCGGCUCUCGUCAGCCGACUCCUCUGAAAUGUAUUAGCGUGAACCUUACUGACCGCCUUCAGCGUGAUAAUUAUCUGCGCUGUGGUGCCGUGAAGUGCUUAAGCUCUGGAUCAUGCUUACGAACAAAAGAUUCUGAUCGUGUUUUUCUUCCUCUGAAAGGAGGAGGAGAGGACGCCGUCAGUUUCAUUUAUUUAUAUGACAUCUGACCUCAAAUCAGGUAGGACUACCCGCUGAACUUAAGCAUAUCAAUAAACCCGAAGAAAAGAA